rnacentral:rRNA from 1 species
AGAGUUUGAUCAUGGCUCAGAUUGAACGCUGGCGGCAGGCCUAACACAUGCAAGUCGAACGGUAACAGGAAGCAGCUUGCUGCUUCGCUGACGAGUGGCGGACGGGUGAGUAAUGUCUGGGAAACUGCCUGAUGGAGGGGGAUAACUACUGGAAACGGUAGCUAAUACCGCAUAAUGUCGCAAGACCAAAGAGGGGGACCUUCGGGCCUCUUGCCAUCGGAUGUGCCCAGAUGGGAUUAGCUUGUUGGUGGGGUAACGGCUCACCAAGGCGACGAUCCCUAGCUGGUCUGAGAGGAUGACCAGCCACACUGGAACUGAGACACGGUCCAGACUCCUACGGGAGGCAGCAGUGGGGAAUAUUGCACAAUGGGCGCAAGCCUGAUGCAGCCAUGCCGCGUGUAUGAAGAAGGCCUUCGGGUUGUAAAGUACUUUCAGCGGGGAGGAAGGGAGUAAAGUUAAUACCUUUGCUCAUUGACGUUACCCGCAGAAGAAGCACCGGCUAACUCCGUGCCAGCAGCCGCGGUAAUACGGAGGGUGCAAGCGUUAAUCGGAAUUACUGGGCGUAAAGCGCACGCAGGCGGUUUGUUAAGUCAGAUGUGAAAUCCCCGGGCUCAACCUGGGAACUGCAUCUGAUACUGGCAAGCUUGAGUCUCGUAGAGGGGGGUAGAAUUCCAGGUGUAGCGGUGAAAUGCGUAGAGAUCUGGAGGAAUACCGGUGGCGAAGGCGGCCCCCUGGACGAAGACUGACGCUCAGGUGCGAAAGCGUGGGGAGCAAACAGGAUUAGAUACCCUGGUAGUCCACGCCGUAAACGAUGUCGACUUGGAGGUUGUGCCCUUGAGGCGUGGCUUCCGGAGCUAACGCGUUAAGUCGACCGCCUGGGGAGUACGGCCGCAAGGUUAAAACUCAAAUGAAUUGACGGGGGCCCGCACAAGCGGUGGAGCAUGUGGUUUAAUUCGAUGCAACGCGAAGAACCUUACCUGGUCUUGACAUCCACGGAAGUUUUCAGAGAUGAGAAUGUGCCUUCGGGAACCGUGAGACAGGUGCUGCAUGGCUGUCGUCAGCUCGUGUUGUGAAAUGUUGGGUUAAGUCCCGCAACGAGCGCAACCCUUAUCCUUUGUUGCCAGCGGUCCGGCCGGGAACUCAAAGGAGACUGCCAGUGAUAAACUGGAGGAAGGUGGGGACGACGUCAAGUCAUCAUGGCCCUUACGACCAGGGCUACACACGUGCUACAAUGGCGCAUACAAAGAGAAGCGACCUCGCGAGAGCAAGCGGACCUCAUAAAGUGCGUCGUAGUCCGGAUUGGAGUCUGCAACUCGACUCCAUGAAGUCGGAAUCGCUAGUAAUCGUGGAUCAGAAUGCCACGGUGAAUACGUUCCCGGGCCUUGUACACACCGCCCGUCACACCAUGGGAGUGGGUUGCAAAAGAAGUAGGUAGCUUAACCUUCGGGAGGGCGCUUACCACUUUGUGAUUCAUGACUGGGGUGAAGUCGUAACAAGGUAACCGUAGGGGAACCUGCGGUUG